AUUGAACGCUGGCGGCAGGCCUAACACAUGCAAGUCGAACGAGUGGCGGACGGGUGAGUCGUGUCUUGGAAACUGCCCGAUCGACGCGGUUAACUACUGGAAACGGUAGCUAAUACCGCAUACCCUCGGAUCGGCCCUGAUGGGCUUGGCUAGCAGGUGGGGUAACGGCUCACCUAGGCGACGAUCCCUAGCUGGUCUGAGAGGCUGACCAGCCACACUGGGACUGAGACACGGUCCAGGCGCCUACGGGAGGCAGCAGUGGGGAAUAUUGCGCAAUGGGCGCAAGCCUGAUGGAGCGAUGCCGCGUGUAUGAAGAAGGCCUUAGGGUUGUAAAGUACUGUGAGCGAGGAGGCGUUACUCGAAGAAGAAGCACCGGCUAACUCCGUGCCAGCAGCCGCGGUAAUUC
rnacentral:rRNA from 1 species